GUAAAUUUGGAUCACAUUCCAACAUAUUGUUUGUAUACAUUUAAAUAAACAGGGUACAAGCUGAGAAGGAACAGCAUCUAGAGUUGAUAGAGGCACCUGUAUUUGCCAUGUGAAAAUGUUAUGCUUCUCAUAAACUUCCUUUUUUUUUUACAGCAGCUUCUCAUAUAUAAACUUCUGUAGCCAAGGUACACACAGUGUUUCCUGCUUUCAUAUAUAAAACGGAGACCACAAACACAGCAAGGCUAUUGUCGAGAAGGGAAAGCUGAGAUUGCUCCAAGGUAUUCUGUAUGCGGUUCAGUUCGAUCUUUCUAUAGGAAUGGAAGGUAUUGGGAACAGAGAAAAGUGAUUUUGGGUUCGGAUUCGGAUGAUUGUAUUGCUCUCUUGUGAGGAUGGGACGAAUAUGUUUACCACUUUGUUGAAAAUUUACAGGCCAAUUUAAUCCGGCGACCCUCUCUCUCAGUUCUCGGCCAUGGCUCUCGCAAGUACACCCCCUCCCUCUCUCUUAGUUCUCUAUUCCUCUUAUUUCUCACUCUCUCUCGAUCUCUCGUAGCGGCUCGCUCUCUCCCCGUAGGCACCGGAUCCGGUGACCCUCUUCCACCGGCAUGCGGAGGAGCAUUAGCGCGCGGGGCCUGGAGCACCGGCGGCGGCGGGCGGCAGCACCGUGUCCUUGAGAAGCCGGCGAUAUUUAUUUUUUUGAUUUGUUAACAUUCAACGGGCUGCUGUGUGGAUUCGGGGCCGCUUGGGGCCGGCCUCGUUUUUUUUUUCUUCUAAUCCAUAUCAGUGUCGGGCGUGUAGCUUGACCGUUACUGAUGAGGGACCUCAUCAGUAACGAGUGUACCGCCCGUUACUGAUGUUAAGCACAUCAAUGACAGGAAGUUAGUGACGGGCAGUCCGCCUGUUACUGAUACGCUUUUUCGACUGUCACUAAUGAGUCUUUUUUUAGUAGUGAUCGCUAUCUUUUUGGUAAGAAGAUGAGUGUCAUACGAGCUUGUAUUUGUAGUCACACGGGAAAAAUGGUAGGUGAUCUAUUCAAUUCGAGUAUCAUAUACCAAGGUGCUAUAUAUACCUUCGUGCUCGGCCUUCUUUUGAAGAAAGCCAAGAGGGUAAAGUACCUGGUGUUGAACUAGGCAUCACCGUAAAAAUGCACAUAUAUGACAUGCUUGGUAUCGGUAGCUUUAGAGGGGGUUUUUUUUUUUUGAGCGCAACGGUAGCUUUAGAGGUAGACAUCCCCGGUAGGUAUGGGAGGCAUCGAGGAAGCUUGUUAAACCGAGAUUCGCCCGGCUCGAGCCCGUAGCGGCCCUGUCCGGCUCGGCCCAAACCGACCAGUCAUUGAGGCCGACGAGAGCCGCCAAAGCGAGCCAAUUCGGUCUUCCGAUCAUUGGGCCAGGCCCGUCUGGGUAUAGCUGGGGAGCAAACGAGCCGAGAAGGGCAGCAGCCUUUUAAUAACAACGCCCAAGCACGGCCCACCGAAUCACCUCAGGCGGUCAGGCCUCAAUCCAUCCAGCCCCGAGCUCCCGGGCCAGACGCCGCCGCGUACAGAGCGGCCGCCUCAGACGAAGCCAAGCCGCAAUUGCUGGGCCGAAUCUUGCCCGCUCACCCGGCCCACACCGCAACAUGACUGGCCUCGUUCCGCACACCCGCAGUCGCCCUCCCGUACCCCGCGCCGCCGGUCGAUCGCCAUGGACAAGCAGAAACACUGUUGUGCUGGGCGCUGUGUGCGGUCGGCCUGCUGCCCUGCUGCUCUGCGGAUCAAUGCUGGUUCUUUGGCGGUCGGUUGGGCUCGGUCGUGUUGUUAUUAUAUGAAAAAAAACGUCCUCCCAUUUUUUUCAGAACCUUGUGAUUCGCCAACCAAAAUGUCUCACGCACAGUGUUGUCUGCUUUCAUUCAUAUCAUAACACUCUACAGUUGAAGAGGAAUAACAACUAAUAGUAGCUAUGGAAGAACUCGGCAAUAUUUCCCCACGAGGUGAGGUAUGAUGUAUUCAGUUCAGUUGAAGAGGAAUAACAACUAAUACUAGUAGCUAUGGAAGAACUUUGACAAUUUACAAAUUUCGAUGCAAAUCAACAGUCUGAAUUACGACUAACUACUUAAGUUAUUAAUGGUAGAAUUAAUGGUCUAUAUUUUCUUAUCAUCAUCAUCAUAAUAAUAAUAAUAAUAAUAAUAAUAAUAAAAACGUUCUAUCAACUCUUGAUGAAAAACAUCGGAAGCUCAAUUCCUUGGUCUGUUCGAAAUCAACAAUGAGGUUGGGUGAGAUGACUGUCCAUGAAAUGGCCGGCAGAGGUUGGUGGCUCACUAACUGAAUGUUCUGUUUUGCCGCUCUGCAAGAAUCAUCUGCAAUAGCCAUUAUAUCUUGUUAUCUCGGGUUGAGGAUGCAACAACCGUUACAGCACGCCCACGGUUUUCAUAUUACCGGGUUUGCAGCUGCAUGGAAAAAGAAACAAGCUUGCUUUGGAAAGAAAUCAAUAAGAUCACCUGCAGAGAUAAUGUGUUAUGCAUAUAUACUGUGCAGAUUUCAUGCUGGUUAGAUCAGGUUAUACUGGUGGCCAAACUGCAUGAGGUUGCUUUGCAAGUUCACAACGAAGGGAGGCGAUGGAAGUGCUACUGCAAGACGAAUCAUGGCGUCGGGCACCGACUCGCCAGACGGGGAGGGGUCAGGGGAUCAACUUCCUGCAUAGUGAAAAUCUCUUGGAUGGGAUGUGUCUUUGCUCGUAGUGAAAAUUAUUCUCAGGUUGGAACGGUGCAAUUAAUAAGUACCUAGCGUCUGGCAGAGUCGGGGUUUAGUUUUCUUUCCGUAAUUGGGUUUGUUGGUUGUGCAGGCGGCAAAAACGCUAUGCUAUUCUCUGAACCCCUUUUUGCUGGUAUUUUGUUCAUUCCGGUUCUGUUAUCGAUAGCAGCCAUUCUUGGUCGUAUUGAAGGAAGAAAAAAAAGAGGUUUCCCCAUCCUUUGCUAUAUUAUCGCUUUAUUUUUGGUAAGAUGAGCGGCAUACAAGCUUGUAUUUUUAGUCACACGGGGAAAAUGGUAGGUGAUCUCUUCGAUUCGAGUGGAUAUAUACAUCCCAACUACCAAGGUGCUAUAUAUAUUCUCAACCUUCUUUUGAAAAAACCAAGAGGUCCAAAAUCCAACAGGAUGCAGUACAUGGUGUUGAACUAGGUAUCACCCUAAAAAUGCACAUACAUGCCACGUUUGGCAUUAGCAGCUUUAGCAGUAGACAUCCACGGUAGGAAUGGGAGGCAUCGAGGAAGCUCGUUAUACCGACAUUCGAGGCCGGCUCGAGCCCAUGGCGGCCCGGUCCGGCUUGGCCCAAAACUGCCAGUCAUUGUGGCCAACACGAGCUGCCAAAGCGAGCUAGUUCGGCCUUCGGAUCAGAGAGCCAGGACCGACUCGCUACAGCCCGGGAGCAAACGGCCCGAUAGGUGCAGCGGCAUGGCAAUGACAAGCCCCAAGUACAGCCCAACAGACCGCACCUUCCGCCACAGGCUCCCGGGUCAGACGCCGCCGCGUAGGCCCCGGCCGCCUCAGACGAAGCCAAGACGCAAUUGACUGAAACAGUAUUGUUGUUUAAAUCUUGCACCUUGGUAACCUUGUAAAAUUAAAUUAUUGGGAAUUUUGGACUUCUCCUAGUUUGCUUUCCAUAGAGCCUAUUCAGACAAUUUACAAAUUUCGAUGCAAAUCAACGGUCUGAAUUACGACUAACUACUUAAGCUAUAAAUGGUAGAAUUAAUGAUCUAUAUUUUCUUAUAAUCAUAAUAAUAACAAUAACAAGACCAAUAAUGUAGAGAAUUCAAAGUGGACCUAACACACUACGAGAGGGCCUAUUCACCUAUACCAACUACUUUGGUGUAGUUGAUUAGUCCCUUUUUAUUUCUACUUACUUAGUGCAAGCUUCCGGGCGGCAGAACCACUCACGUUAAAGCAAGUCUUGAAUCCGGGCGGCUAUGCCACUCACGUUGAAACAAGACCGUUGUGAUUCCGGGCGAAUCCGCUCACGUUAAAUCACAACUUAUAUGCACUAAGUACUUAGAAAUAACAAGGCCUAACCGAGAGACUUAUAUGAACAAAGUAGUACUAUAUUGCUUUAGGAAUAUUAGUACAAGAGAGAGCAUACACACCUUACACUUGCUCACACCUUGUUCUCCACCUUCUUCACUUCCUUAUUCUCUACUACACAAGGUGUGAGGUAAGGGCCUCUAUUUACAGGACUACAUGGCCAUUGGAUCUUUGACAUGUGUCAAAAUCUUAGCAAUUGAUACAAAAUAUCUAAAGCCUUCCACACACUUCUACAUAAAUAUCUAGGUAUUAGAAGGUUUCCUAUUUAUUUAUUUUAAACUUCUAUUCUAGAGUAUUCCAAAGCUUCUACAUAAUUCUUUAUGCAUAUCUAAACACUAGAAGGUUCCCUCUUUUAUUUAUUUUAUAUUCUAGAAUAUUCCAUAGUAAUGUCUUCUUUCUUGUAAUAUUGAGAACAUUCUAGAAGCUUGCAUUGUAUUCUCCAACACUCCCCCUCAAUGCAAAGCUUUUUUGGUGACCAUGCCAAGACCUUCUCGAAACUUCUCGAACUUUGAUUUGUUGAGACUCUUGGUGAGGAUAUCUGCAGUCUGGUCUUCUGUCUUUGUUGGCACCAUCUCAAUUUCCCCCUUAAGAACCUUUUCUCUGAUGUAGUGGUAGUGCACCUCUAUGUGCUUUGUCCUUGCAUGGAAGACAGGAUUUUCUGCUAGCCUUAUGGUGGAUAAGUUAUCACAGAAAAUCCAUACCUGAUCUUUUGGAGUUUGAUGAAGGUCUUCCAUCAAUUGUUUAAGCCAGGUGCUUUCUUGUGCUGCCGCUGCCGCUGAUCGAUAUUCUGCUUCAGUACUUGACAGUGCCACUGUAGGUUGCCUUUUGCUGCACCAUGUUAUGGCUCCCGAUCCAAGACUGAAGAGAUAUCCAGUGGUUGAUCUCCGUGUAUCACAAUCUCCGGCAUAGUCGGCGUCGCAGUAACCAAUAACCUGGCAUUCUUUUGUUUUCUUAUAUAGGAUGCCAUAAUUUAAGGUGCCUUUGACAUACCUGAGUAUUCGCCUUAUUGCAUCAAGGUGAGGCUUCUUUGGUGUGCUCAUGUAUCGGCUUGUCACUCCAACGGCAUAGGAAAUAUCUGGCCGACUAAGUGUUAGAUAGAUAAGACUCCCGACCAGUUGCCGAUACAUGGUUGCAUCCUCCAAGUUCUUUCCUUUGUCUUCUUGAAGUCUUGCGUUAGGAUCCAUAGGAGUGGAAAUAGGUUUGCAGUCAAGCAUCCCAUACCUCUUAAGAAGGUCCUUCGCAUACUUUUGUUGGCCUAAGAAUAUCCCAUUCUUAGUGUGCUCCACCUCAAGUCCAAGGAAGUGUCUUAACUCACCAAGUUCCUUCAUUUGAAAUCUCACGGAGAGAUUUUUCCUUGUCCUUUCUAUCUCCUCGGAGUAAUCUCCCGUGAUGAUCAAGUCAUCAACAUAGACUAGAACUAUUGCUAGUCUUCCUUCCUUGGCCAUCACAAAUAAACUAGAGUCUGAUGGAGCAACUUUAAAGCCAUUGUGUACUAGGAACUCACCGAUCUUUCCGUACCAUGCUCUUGGUGCUUGCUUUAGCCCGUAAAGUGCCUUCUUUAGUUUUGCAGACAUGUUCGGGGUAUUUCUUGCUCUCAAACCCCUUUGGCUGCUCCAUGUAAAUCUCCUUGUCAAGUUCUCCAUGCAGAAAGGCAUUCUUGACAUCCAUCUGCCACAACUCCCCAGACUUGCUGGCAGCCAAUGCAAGCAAGACUCGAACUGUUGUGAUUUUUGCCACCGGACUGAAUGUUUCUUCGUAAUCCAGUCCAUACUCCUGCGAGAAACCUCGUGCCACAAGUCGAGCUUUAUACCUUUCAAUUGAGCCAUCUGUUCGGGUUUUCACUUUGUAGACCCAUUUGCAGGAUAUUGGCUUCACGUCCUUUGGCUUUGGCACUAAGUCCUAUGUUUGGUUUCCUUUAGUGCCUUAAUCUCUUCUUCCAUCGCCUUCUGCCACUCAGAACCUCGUGCUGCUUCUUCAUAGGAAGAUGGCUCAAUAGAUAAAGACUCAUCGGCAAGAGCAGCAUUAGCGUACCUUGGAUUGGGCUUCCUGGGUCUUGUUGAUCUUCGAAGUUCUUGAUCAUGCUCCUCGGUUUGUGGCUCUUCAGGUUGGUGUAUGCCAGUCUUCCACGGACUCUUGGUCUUACUUGGUGAGCUCCUUUCUCCUUCACUUGGGGUUUCUAGCUUCUGAUCUCUUUCUUCUUCUAUAACCUCCUCCACGUCAGGUGAUUCAGGAAUCUCUUCUUUCUUAGGGGACCACCAUGAAGAAGCUUCAUCGAACACAAUGUUCCUUGAGGUGUGACAUUUACCUGUGGUUGGAUCACAACACCUCCAUCCUUUUCGAGCAUCAUCGUACCAACGAAGAUGCACCUCUUCGCCUUCUUUUCAAACUUGGUUCUUAGGUGAUCUGGCACAAAGAUAUAGCAUACGCAACCAAAUACCUUGAGGUGGCUGAUGGCUGGUUUCAUCCUCCAAAGCUUCUCAUGUGGUGAUUUGAACCCCAACCUCACUUGUGGUAGCUUAUUAAUCACAUGAGCUGCAGUCCUCAUACACUCCGCCCAGAAUCUUCCAGGAACAUUUUUGGCAUGCAACAUACUCCGACAAGUUUCCGCAAGGUGACGAUUCUUGCGCUCCGCUACUCCAUUUUGUUGUGGAGUAUUAGGGCAAGUUAACUGCCUUUUUAUCUUAUUUUUCUUGAGAUAGAUGGUGAACUCAUUGGAUAAAUAUUCUCUCCCAUUGUCAGUGCGUAGGCACCGUAUCUUAUACUCGAGUUCACCUUCUAUCAUAUCUUUAAAUUCCUUAAAUUUCAUAAAGGUCUCAGACUUCUCCUUCAUAAAAUAUACCCAAACGUACCUUGAGAAGUCGUCGAUGAAGGUCACCAUGCAUCUCAUGCCUCCAAGUGAUAUUUGCUUGACUGGGCCAAAGACAUCUGAGUGUAUGAGCUCUAGAGGUACCUUUGACUGAUGCUGCGACUCCUUGUAUGGCAAUUGGUGGGCCUUGCCAUACUGACAUCCAGCACAGACCAUGUCUGUACAGAUAUCAAGAUCAGGAAGCCCCUUCACUACGUGCUUCUCCAUCAUCUCCUUCAACUUGUGGUAGCUGACGUGUCCAAGCCGCGCAUGCCAAAAAUCAGCUGUCUCAUUCUUCCGAGUCUUGUCUACGUAUGCUGACUCAGCAGAGAGCACAAAGAGUGAGUCUCUCUUUUUCCCUUCCAUGAUGGGUGUGCCGAUCACCUUCAGCCUUCUGAAGAUUGCUACUUCUUGUGGACCAAACAGAACAUACUUCCCUUCUGCUGUCAGUUGAGAUACUGACAACAGAUUCUUCUUCAAGCCUGGGACGUGAUAGACUCUCUCAAGUUGGAGUUGUUGAGGACCAUACCUUGGAACGGCUGUCUUUCCAACAUGGGAAAUCGAUAGCUUGGAGUUGUUGGCUGUCAGCACCAUUUUUUCUCACUUGUACUCGGUCAUAUCUUGCAGCUUGUUGUCAUCAUUAGUCAUAUGGUUGGAGCACCCAGAAUCAACGAUCCAAUCAUCUUUAUAGUUGAUUUUUGGAUCCUUGAUUGCUGCAAGGGCUGGCGCCUCCAUGUCCUCCUCCAACUCUUCUUCAUCCGUUGCAAAGACUGGUGGCUCCAUGUCUUCCUCCAACUCUUCUUCAUCCAUCGCAAAGGCUGGUGCCUCCAUAUCUUCCUCCAACUCUUCUUCAUCCAUUGCAAGGGCUGGCACCUCCAUGUCUUCCUCCAAGUCUUCUAUGUCAACCUCUUGAGAGUAUCCAGCUUCGGCGUCCCAUUCUUCUUCGCUCAUGGAUGCUUCUAGAGUGAUCUCCUCUUUCUCUUUUGUGGUGGCCACAUUCCCUUCAUAACGCCUUCUUGGAUAUCGACAUUCUCGAGUAAGGUGACCUUUCUUACCACAAUUGGAGCAUCCAUCAUUUGACCUCCUUGGAAAUCGGCAUUCUCGAGCAAAGUGACCUGCCUUGCCACAAUUGAAGCAUCCAUCACUUGGUCUCCUUGCAUUCUUCUCGUACCAUUUUGGUCUUUGUCUUUCUCGUUGGUCUCCCCCUGAAGUGUUGCUUCUCUCCUUUGGAUGUUCUUUCCCACCUUCUGUCCACUUAGGUUUGGGCUUCCAUUGUUUUUGGUGUGGGCUCUUCUUCUUAGUGAAAAGUGCCUCCUCUUCUUCCUUUAUGGUUAUGCUCCCCAUCUUCUUAGCUAACUCCUCUUGAUUUACCAAUAAAUUCUCCAACUCCACUACUGAAGGUGGAGUAGGCCAUCCCAUCACCGCAGCCAUAAACCCAUUGUAUUCGGGUCUAAGACCGUGGAUGAUGAUUCUCUUCAUCCGAGUCUUGCUCACCUUCUCAUCCGGGGCAAGUUGGGAUAUCUCACGGCAAAUAAACUUCACCUUCGAAAAAUAUUGACUGAUGGAUAGAUUGCCUUGUGAGAUACCUGCGAGCUCAUUUUCCAAGAGCUGGAGCCGUGCUUCAUUUUUCCUUGAGAAUAGCUUCGCCAAAGUCUCCCAUGCCUCCUUAGGUGUCUUCUCAUCACGGAUGUACUCUAAUAGGUCCUCUUCGAUGUUCAUCUUCAAUACAAACAUGGCCUUCCCUGACUUGAUCUUCCAUUUCCGCAAGGCAUCAGCAUUCUCUGGAGGAAAUGCUUCGGUGCCCGCAACGACCUCCCAUAGGUCCUGACCUUGUAGGUAGGACUCCAUGCAGGUCUGCCAAUAGCCAUAGUUGUGGCUAUUAAGCUUCCUGAUCCCGCUGCUUGAGCUAGCAAGAUCCGCCAUGGUAACUUGCGCCCAGCGUCAAGUAAGCUUUGGUCCCGGACCAGCUUCACAGUUCCAGACUGUGCACCAGCAGAGUCUCCCCUCAGCGCCUUCUUGUUGCACCGAACAAAGCAAGCACCCCGUGCUUACAACUCUUCCUCCAAAUGACAGUCCCGGACCGCCUGCUCUGAUACCAACUGUAGAGAAUUCGAGGUGGACCUAACACACUACGAGAGGGCCUAUUCACCUAUACCAACUACUUUGGUGUAGUUGAUUAGUCCCUUUUUAUUUCUACUUACUUAGUGCAAGCUUCCGGGCGGCAGAACCACUCACGUUAAAGCAAGUCUUGAAUCCGGGCGGCUAUGCCACUCACGUUGAAACAAGACCGUUGUGAUUCCGGGCGAAUGCGCUCACGUUAAAUCACAACUUAUAUGCACUAAGUACUUAGAAAUAACAAGGCCUAACCGAGAGACUUAUAUGAACAAAGUAGUACUAUAUUGCUUUAGGAAUAUUAGUACAAGAGAGAGCAUACACACCUUACACUUGCUCACACCUUGUUCUCCACCUUCUUCACUUCCUUAUUCUCUACUACACAAGGUGUGAGGUAAGGGCCUCUAUUUACAGGACUACAUGGCCAUUGGAUCUUUGACAUGUGUCAAAAUCUUAGCAAUUGAUACAAAAUAUCUAAAGCCUUCCACACACUUCUACAUAAAUAUCUAGGUAUUAGAAGGUUUCCUAUUUAUUUAUUUUAAACUUCUAUUCUAGAGUAUUCUAAAACUUUUACAUAAUUCUUCAUGCAUAUCUAAACACUGGAAGGUUUUCUCUUUUAUUUAUUUUAUGCAUUGUAUUCUCCAACAAAUAAUAAUAAUAAUAAUAAUAAUAAUAAUAAUAAUAAUAAUAAUAAUAAUAAUAAUAAUAAUAAUAAUAAUAAUAAUAAUAAUAAUAAUAAUAAUAGCAGCGUUCUAUCAACUCCCGACAAAAAACAUCAGAAGCUCAAUUCCUUGGUCUGUUUGAAAUCAACAAUGAGGUUGGAGGAGAUGACUGUCCAUGAAAUGGCCAGCAGAGGUUGGCGGCUCACUACCUGAAUGUCCUGUUUUGCUGCUCUGCAAGAAUCAUCUGCAAUAGUCAUUAUAUAUUAGUUGCCUCGGGUUGAGGAUGCAACGACAGUUACAGCACGCCUACAGUUUUCAUAGUACUGGGUUUGCAGCUACAUGGAAAAGAAACAAGGUUGCUUAGGAAGGAAAUUAAUAAGAUCACCUGCAGUGAUAAUGUGUUAUGCAUAUAUACUGUGCAGGUCUUCAUGCUGGUUAGAUCAGGCUAUACUGGUGGCCUCAAACUGCAGGAGGUUGCUUUGCAAGUUCACAACGAGGAGAGGAGAUGGAUGUGAUGUUGCAAGAAGAAACAUGGCGUCGAAGAAUCGUCAGAGGAUCAAUUUCCUUUUUUUCGAAAAGGCAGAGGAUCAAUUCCCUGAGUAGUGAAAAUCUCUUGGAUGGCUCGUAGCGAAAAUUAUUCCUAGGUUGGAAUUCUGUAAUAAGUACCUAGCUUCUGGCAGAGUUGGUGUUUAGUUUUUCUUUUCGUAAUUGGGUUUUGUUAGUUUUGCAUUUAUUUUCGUAAUUGGGUUUUGUUAGUUGUGCAGCCGGCAAAAACAUUAUGCUGUCUUGUGAACCCCUUUUGUGGGUGUUUUGUUCAUUCCAAUUCCAGUUCCAUUAUAGCAGCCAUUCUUGGUCGUAUUUUUGAAAAGGAAAAAAAAGAGAGGCUUCCCCAUCCUCUGUUAUAUUCGUUAUCUUUUUGGUAAGAUGAGUGUCAUACGAGCUUGUAUUUAUAGUCACGGGGAAAAUGGUAGGUGAUCUCUUCAAUUCGAGUGGAUAUAUACACACCAACGUGCUAUAUAUAGGUACGUGCUCAGCCUUCUUUUGAAGAAACCAAAAGGUCCAAGACGUUGCCAAAAGGGUGGCGUACCUGGGUUGAACUGGGUUUCGCUUUGGUGUUAGUAGCUUUGACUAGCGGUAAACAUCCACCGUACAAAUGGGAGGCAUCGAGGAAGCUCGUUAUAGGUUAGGGCAGACAUUCGAG
rnacentral:lncRNA from 1 species